rnacentral:rRNA from 1 species
CCUACGGGCGGCAGCAGUGGGGAAUAUUGGACAAUGGGGGCAACCCUGAUCCAGCCAUGCCGCGUGUGUGAAGAAGGCCCUCGGGUUGGAAAGCACUUUCAGUGAGGAAGAACGCCUGGUGGUUAAUACCCAUCAGGAAAGACAUCACUCACAGAAGAAGCACCGGCUAACUCCGUGCCAGCAGCCGCGGUAAUACGGAGGGUGCGAGCGUGAAUCGGAAUUACUGGGCGUAAAGCGCGCGUAGGUGGCUUGAUAAGCCGGUUGUGAAAGCCCCGGGCUCAACCUGGGAACGGCAUCCGGAACUGUCCAGCUAGAGUGCAGGAGAGGAAGGUAGAAUUCCCGGUGUAGCGGUGAAAUGCGUAGAGAUCGGGAGGAAUACCAGUGGCGAAGGCGGCCUUCUGGACUGACACUGACACUGAGGUGCGAAAGCGUGGGUAGCAAACAGGAUUAGAUACCCCAGUAGUA